UUAGCUGCAUUUUGCGUUUCUCACCGAUUCCAAUUCCAAACUCUUCACUGAAACACUGUUUAGGGGAUGAAAUAAUACUUGUGAAAGAAAAGGUCGUAAGGUUUUGUACCAAUGUAAGAAGGAGAAAAAUAAAGGAAGGCUUUUUUGAAGAUGUCCAUUUUGGAGGAGUGAUGAGACAUGUAAUUUUUUCAUAUGGGAUGAAGACAUUGGAGAAAAAGGUGUAAAUGAAGAUGGGAGCAUUAUGAAGUCAGAGUUGGAAGGCAU